GGAUUGUGCUGGCGUGGUCCUGGGUGCCCCAGCCUGUGCCCCCCUAUGGCACAGCGUGUGCGGGUCGCAAUCUGGAAAAUCCCAAGAUCUCUAGGGGGGCAGGGCAGGGCCGAUGUGCUCCGUGGGGUUAAAAGUGUUCCCUGAGUGAGACUAGACUCCUAAAUGGCUGAGCCAUACCGAGGAUGAGCGUCCAUGUGCUCCCCUGAAGAGAGCGGCGACCACCGGCUUGCCUCCUAGGGCAGCAGGAAAAGAGCGAUCCCACGGCGGGCGCGUGCCAGCUGAGAAAAAGAUCUUCGCAAAACAUUUUGGAUGCGGGACUUGUAUCAGGAUGUGAAAAACUCCUGCGACCAGAGAGCAAAGAAAGCAUCGAGCCAAUGAAAAUGCGUGAAGGAUUCGAACAGAGAAGAUGCCCAUGGGAAGCAAAGCAACAGCCUCACUGCUGCUUGAGGUGCAGGAAGGCAUUGCCCCUCCUUCAGCCACCACCGUGUGGACCAUGUUCUGAUGGUCGUUGCCACUACAUAAGCACAGAGAGCCCGUGGCCAAAGCUUGCAUUCCAGCUCCAUAUUGACAGUGAACACCUACAUCGACCAGACCCCAGGCAAGGCUGGCAGCCACACAGGACCAUGUGUCUCUUCUUGUCCAUCCCCCAGAUGUCUCCUC
rnacentral:lncRNA from 1 species